GACGUAAGGGGCAAGCGUUGUUCGGAAUUAUUGGGCGUAAAGGGCGCGUAGGCUGUCUGGUAAGCCUGGUGUGAAAGCCCGGGGCUCAACCCCGGAACUGCAUUGGGAACUGCUUGACUUGAGUCAUGGAAGGGAAGUUAGAAUUCCAGGUGUAGGGGUGAAAUCUGUAGAUAUCUGGAAGAAUACCGGUGGCGAAGGCGAACUUCUGGCCAAUGACUGACGCUGAGGCGCGAAAGUGCGGGGAGCAAACAGG
rnacentral:rRNA from 1 species